AUGCUGUGUUGUCAAAAAAAUAUAAUUGACACAGUUAGUAAUGCAAAAAAAAGUGUAAUUAUUAUACAUAAAGACGAAAAUAAGAAAGAAAAAAAUGCUGGUAAUGAUGGUAUUGGUAGCAGUGGUGGGAUUGGUGACAGUGGUGGUAACGUUGGUACAGGUGAUAUGGGAGGAACUGCAUUAAUUGCACAGGGUGGGGGUAAAUUAUCUUUAAUUAAUCUUUUGAAAAAGUCAAAUGAAAAUGUUUAUAAGACAAAACAUGAAAAGUAUAAAGCCAAUAAAAAUAAAAUAGUAAGUAAAUCAGAUGUAUUCAAAUAUUAUGAAUAUAAAUAUUUAAUAGACAAGUAUGGUGUACGUAUAUAUAACAGAAAUUUGAACAACAAUGACCCGAAUAGUAGUGAACGAUAUGAAGAUGUUAUUAAAGAAAUUGAUGAUAUAACUGAGUUUUCUAAAUUAGAUUCGGAAGAUAAAUGUAAAAAAUUAAAUGAAGUACAGAAUAAAAUUAAUGAAUAUAAGAAAAGAAAAAAGUUAUUAAAUAUUCAUGAUGAUUUUGUUUUUACAAAUAUAUAUAAACUAACACAUAAACUAAAUUAUACUAUGUUAGAUGAAGAAAAAAAUAAUGUGGAACGCUACAACUGCAAUAAAGUUUUAGAAAUGCUAUUUCAGAGAAAACUUAAAAGAAAAGAUUUAAUUAAAAAUAAGCUGGAUAUACAUUAUGUUCAUAUAGAAGAUAAACUAAAUGAGUUUUUUAUAAUAAAAAAUUCUGAAUUACAAUAUUAUAUUAAUAAUAAUGAUAUAAUUACAACAGUCCCUAUAGAAUUUUUGAAUAAAGAAGAAAAUAAAAAGGAAGAAAUUGUUAAAGAAGAGAAAACAAAAGAGACAUCAGAAUUAAAAGAGAAAAAUGAAUCGGAUGAAAAUAUAUAUAAAUCAUUUAAUGAAGAAAUAAAACGUAGUUAUAAUAAUAAUAUAGAAAUUAUUUUAAUGCCAAAAUACAAAAAAUAUUAUAAAUUUCAUGGGUAUUAUAAAAUAGUUUUAAAUUUACAUAAAAUAAAACUUAUUUCUAAUGAUUUUUAUCACUCUAUUGAGAAUAAAAUUGAAAAAUAUAUUAUAAAUAAAAAAAAAGGUCACCAUAUACAUGUAAAACUAAAAUUAAAAACGAAUUAUCCUCAAGCAUUAAAAACACUUAUUAGAUAUAUACAUGAUACAAAUUUUAAACUAAGUAACUUGCCUUUUAGAUUAUUAGUAACGAUUUAUAUAAUAUGUAUGGAUUUAAAAUUUUAUGAUAUUAUAAAUAAUAUUGUUAAAGAAAUUAAUGUUCAAACGAAUUUUAAUAAUAUAAUUCAUAUAUUAGAUUUAUCAUCGAUUUGUAAACAAACUCCUAUUUUUAAAGACUUCAUUCGCAUUAUUGUAGAUUCAGCUGAUUAUAUAUUUCGAGAAGAAUACCAUUAUUUUCUGGAUGUAGACAUGUAUUCGUAUUUCCUAAGUUUUGACAACUUAAUGGUUAAUGAAAUGAAAAUUUUUAUUGAGUCCUUAAAAUAUAUAACUAAAAAAAAGUGUACCACCAAAGAACAAGAAUUAAUAUUUAAAAAUAUAAGAUUUGACUUAAUACAUAUAGAUGAAAAUACAUUAAAUAUAUUGCAACAACAUAAUAAAAUAUAUGAUGAAAAUACAAAGACAUUUAUUCCUCCACUUUCUCUUACCAAUAAUAAUAAUAAUAGUAGUAAUAAUAAUAAUAAUAGUAGCAAUAAUAAUAGUAAUAAUAAUAAUAAUAAUUUCUUUAUUGAGAAUAAUGAAAAUAAUGAGAAUAAUAAUAACAACCGUUUACAAACAGAAGUAGCACAUUUAAAUGAAAAUAUUAUAAAUAAUUUAUCGAUAGAAUUAGAAAAAAACUUAAAAAUAGAUAAUAGUGAAUAUUUAUUAAAUAGAAAGGUAGUAGUAAACAAUAUGACCGAAAAUACAAUAACCAACGAUAUAUGUGAUAAUAAUAAUAAUUUAUUUUUUUCUGAAGAAAUAAAAAAUAAAAAUGAAGCUCUUCAAAAAAUAGAAAACAAUAAAAAUUAUUUUAUUACAAUUAAUAAAAAUAAGAAUAUUAUUGAUACAAAUAAUAUGUACAACAUAUUAAUAAAUAAUAUGAUAAGAAGUGUAGAAAAAGGAACUAAAGAUAUAAUAGAUAAAAAGGAAAGGUGCAAAGUAUGUAAUAUAAAUAAAUAUUUCGAUAUAGUAUAUGAUAAAACAGAUAAAAAUUAUUCUUUUAACUUAGUUAAAAAAAAAUAUCGAGUAGAUAAUUAUGCUUAUAUAUGUGGAGAUGAAAAAUUAAUAAACGAAUAUACAUCAACUUUUCAAAUAGUAAAUACAAAAAAUAGUAAUAUUAUAAUAGGUGUUGUUUUAAAAACAAUAGACUUAAGUAAUCCUAUUCCUCAACUUAAUCCUAAAAUACCUAACUUUUUAUUUGAAUAUAAUAAUAAUUUAGUUAUUUAUUUUGAUUUUCUAGUAAAUGAUUUUUAUGCUUGUAAUAUAAACGAUAUCAGUAGUAGUAACAAGAAGGAUAAUUAUUUAACACUACUAAACAAAACAAAAUUAAAUAUAUAUUCACACUCAAAUAAAUUAACAAAUAAUGAUAUUAUUCAAUAUAGUAUAACAGUUAUUAAUCAAACUCUCUAUAUAUAUAUAAAAAUUUUACCAAAAAAUAUUUGCUUCACCUAUUCCUUUGUUAUUUUAAAACCUAAUAUUUUAUUAGGAGAUAUUAUAAAAAAACCGUUUAUUCAUGUGAAACCUUUUUUUAUGCUAAAAGACUCAUCCGAUGCUAUUUCUAUUUCAUCAUUAAAUUUUUAAAAAAAGAGUACACAUAUACAUACAGUAGUAUAUAUAUGUAUGUAUAUAUUUGUACGUUUUUUUUUUUUUUAAAAAAAAUUAUAUAUUGAAAUGUUGUUGUAUGUGUAAUUUUACAAACGCUUGUAGGUGAGUGUAUAUACAUACAUACAUAUAUAUAUAUAUAUAUAUAUAUAUUUGAUAUGCAUGUAUUUAUUUAUACAUAUACAUUCAUAAAAAUUACUGUUUUAUAUAUUUUUUACGAAUUCUUUCACAGCUUUAUGUAUUUACUUGAAAAUGCUUUUACCAUUUUUUUUUUUUUUUCUUUUAAAUAAUUUAUAUUUAUAUUUAUUUUGUUUUGUUCAGUCAUUUUCUGCAUAUAUAAUAUACACUCUUGUUUAACAUAUUUAAAUUAUUUUAUUUCUUUUACCUUGCACUAGAUGUGUAAUUACAAUUUUUAAUAUCUUUUUAAUUCUUCAUAAAUAAUUAUUUAUUCAAUUACUCAUUGGUAUUCGUUUAAAUAUAUUUGUCAAUUUCUAAUUUUUCUAUAUUUAUAAAACUGUACAUUUGUUAUAUAUAUAUAUAUAUAUAUAUAUAUAUAUAUAUACAUACAAUUUUUUAUAUAUAGAAAUUUGUUUUGGUUUUUUUUUGUAUUUUUUUUUAUUUGUAAAAGAUAAACAAACCCAAAUCCAAAUCCAAAACCAACAUAAACAUUAACACUUCUUCAAUUAGAAUCAACAACAAAAAAAAAAAAAAAAAAAAAAAAAAAACUUAGAUGUUGGAUGUUCACUUUUAAAGUACUAUUAAUGCAUAUAUAUAUAUAUAUAUAUAUAUAUAUAUAUAAACCCAAAAUAUACUAUUUUUCUUUAUUUCCAUUUUUUUCAAAUAAUAAUUUUUGUUUAAAAAAUAUCAUAAAAUUAAAAAAUUAAAAUUAAGUUGUUUUAUUAUAUUUUUUAUUUUAAUUUUAUAUAAGUUUGUUUUUAUACACUUGGCUUUAACAUUGCAUGUUAAAAAAAACUUCCAACAUAGUAGUAAUAACUUUUUUUUAUAUGCUAAAUCAAACAUAAAUAAAAAAAAAAAAAAAAAAAAAAAAAAAAAAAAA
ensembl:lncRNA